rnacentral:rRNA from 1 species
AUUGAACGCUGGCGGCAGGCCUAACACAUGCAAGUCGAACGAGUGGCGGACGGGUGAGUAAUGUCUGGGAAACUGCCUGACGGAGGGGGAUAACUACUGGCAACGGUAGCUAAUACCGCAUACCAUCAGAUGUGCCCAGAUGGGAUUAGCUUGUUGGGGGGGUAACGGCUCACCAUGGCGACGAUCCCUAGCUGGUCUGAGCGGAUGACCAGCCACACUGGAACGGAGACACGGUCCAGACGCCUACGGGAGGCAGCAGUGGGGAAGAUUGCACAAGGGGCGCAAGCCUGAUGCAGCCAUGCCGCGUGUAUGAAGAAGGCCUUCGGGUUGUAAAGUACUUUCAGCGGGGAGGCGUUACCCGCAGAGGAAGCACCGGCUAACUCCGUGCCAGCAGCCGCGGUAAUUC